UAUUGGCAAUUGUUAAAAAUUGCUAAAAAUUUCUCUAAAAAAAUUCUACAAUUCUAUUUGUGAAACGUGAAAUGAAAAUUAGUAGAAAAAAUGAUACAUUGGAAAGUUUUGUGAAAUUUUUCUCGAAAACGAAAAAUAAGUAUUUAUUAUAAAUUAUUAAAAUUUAAUUAAUUUAUUAAGUAAAAUACAAUUCUAUCGGAAAGAUUUUACUUUAAAUUUUUGAUUUUUCAAGAUAUUAAUCAACUGAGAUAUAAAUGAUUUUAAAUGAAUUUCUCUUUGUAACAUAUCAUUUGAUCCAAUCGAGUUUUCCACUAAAAUUUCGUGUAUACAGUCACCUACGUUACCGAUAUGGAAAAAGUUUGAUGCGCGUUUUCACCAAAAGAUAGAGCCACGUACAACGCUCGCGCGUAUUUCGUGGGAUAUGUAAUAUCGUUUAUCGUAAUGUCAAAUCUUUUUUUUUUACUAUUUAAUCAUUGAUUUAACAUUCUUCAAUUAUAUAUAUAUAUUCACUUAUCGUAUAACUAUCAUUAUAAAUAUCUUUUCCAAAGUAUAUUUUCAAAGAAAUAAUACGUUUGUUAGUUUGUAACGUGGCGAUCUAAUACACCAUUCGACGCAAUAGUUCAUUUAUGUUUCGUUAUCUAACAAAAAUAUAUGUUAAUCGUUGUCUUAUAAUACUAAAAAGACUAAAAUUCGUAAUUAUUGUUGACACACUUUCACUUGAAAACAAUCUUAUUAUAAAAAAACGCUGUUAGACUAGGUUAUAAUUAAAAUAAACGUCGAAUAUCGAUAUAUAAUGUAUCUAUGGUAUUAUAAUAGCAAUGCUGCCAACAUUAAAACUAACGUAUGCUUGAAAGUUACGAAAAAUUUUACUAAAAUUCGAUUAUAAUGUAUUAAAUAUUGUUCAAAUAAAAAAUGUUAACGUGUUUCACAAAGUCAAUUUAUUACUGAAGAAGAAGAAACAGCCAAAGAUGAAUUAAUCGAAUGAUCAAAUUGAUAGAAGAUAGAAUGAUUUUAACUAGCGAUUAUAUUCUUAACCAUGCAAGUAUACACCAAUGACAAACUAUGAUCGUUAUACGAGGUCGAGAAGUGGCGGAAACAUAUAGGAGGCGGAGAAACGCACGCACCUCUCUCUGUGUAUGGAAAGUUUUAGCAUAUCGUUGCGGGCAUAUCGCGGACAGGCAACUGAAUUAAUUACAACGCUCGAGACGCUUCCCGGCGAAGUUAAAUAAGCGUUAACGUUGAAUUUUCAUUUCCCGCCAUGUUGACGCCGAAACCAGCCGAAUUUCAGGGACGAUCGCAAAGCUGUGCCACGUGCGAUAUCAAGGCUAUAUUUCAACAAUAGGAAAAAAUGAAAGUGGUACGAUAGUUGCACAAUGUUGAAUCAGGAAGUUGAAUCAGAAAAGAAAAAAAGCAUAUUAUUUAUAUAAAAAAUAGUAACAAUAAAAACAUUGAAAAUA